UCCUGACCGUGCGAAGGUAGCGUAAUCACUUGUCUUUUAAAUGAAGACCUGUAUGAAUGGCAUAACGAGGGUUUAACUGUCUCCUCCUCCCAGUCAAUGAAAUUGAUCUGCCCGUGCAGAAGCGGACAUAAAAACAUAAGACGAGAAGACCCUAUGGAGCUUUAGGCCAAGGACCAAUCAUGUUAAGAGACUACAAAAAUCAACAAGAACAAAAAAGUCAACAAACCAAAUGCAACCUCGUCCAAGUGCCUUCGGUUGGGGCGACCACGGGGAAAAAAGAAACCCCCACAUGGAAUGGGAAUUAUUCCCUUAAACCAAGAAAAACAAUUCUAAGCAACAGAACAUCUGACCAAUAUAUGACCCAGGAAAACACAUCCUGAUCAAUGAACCAAGUUACCCUAGGGAUAACAGCGCAAUCCUUUCCCAGAGCCCAUAUCGACGAAAGGGUUUACGACCUCGAUGUUGGAUCAGGACAUCCUAAUGGUGCAGCCGCUA
rnacentral:rRNA from 1 species